GAUGAACGCUAGCGGCAGGCUUAACACAUGCAAGUCGAGGGGUAGAAGUUGCUUGCAACUUUGAGACCGGCGCACGGGUGCGUAACGCGUAUGCAAUCUACCUUAUACAGAGGGAUAGCCCAGAGAAAUUUGGAUUAAUACCUCAUAGUAUAAUUGAAUGGCAUCAUUUAAUUAUUAAAGUUCCAACGGUAUAAGUUGAGCAUGCGUCCUAUUAGCUAGAUGGUAAGGUAACGGCUUACCAUGGCAACGAUAGGUAGGGGUCCUGAGAGGGAGAUCCCCCACACUGGUACUGAGACACGGACCAGACUCCUACGGGAGGCAGCAGUGAGGAAUAUUGGACAAUGGGCGCAAGCCUGAUCCAGCCAUGCCGCGUGCAGGAAGAAGCAUCUAUGGUGUGUAAACUGCUUUUGUACGGGAAGAAACACUCCUUCGUGAAGGAGCUUGACGGUACCGUAAGAAUAAGGAUCGGCUAACUCCGUGCCAGCCGCCGCCGUAACAC
rnacentral:rRNA from 1 species